rnacentral:rRNA from 1 species
CAUCACUACGCUAGAUGCAUAUCAAUAAGCGGAGGAAAAGAAACUAACAAGGAUUCCCCUAGUAACGGCGAGUGAAGCGGGAAGAGCUCAAAUUUGAAAUCUUAAAGGGUUUCCCUUUACGAAUUGUAGUUUAAAGAAGUGUUUUCUGUUGGAGUUUCGGUAAAAGUUCUUUGGAAUAGGACAUCAUAGAGGGUGAGAAUCCCGUAUUUGACCGUUACUUUCCAGCUGUGUGAUACACUUUCAAAGAGUCGGAUUGUUUGGGAAUGCAGUCCAAGAUGGGUGGUAAAUUUCAUCUAAAGCUAAAUAUUGGCGAGAGACCGAUAGCGAACAAGUACCGUGAGGGAAAGAUGAAAAGAACUUUGAGAAGAGAGUUAAACAGUACGUGAAAUUGUCAAAAGGGAAGCGUUUGACACCAGUGUUGUUUAGUUGAAAAUCAAUUCAAUAGUUUUUGAUUCUAAGUAGUAUUGACUUCAUCAGCUUGCUGCUUUCUUCUCAGAAAUUAUUGAAUGCACUUUUCAGUUAACAAGUCAACAUCAAUUUCUUUUGUUGUAAAAGGGUAAGAGGAAGGUGGCUUGCGCUUCGGCUCAAGUGUUUAUAGCCUUUUAUCUCUGCAAUCGGAGAGAUUGAGGUCUGCAGCGUAGAUCCUUCGGGGUUAGAUACAUUGGUGCUAAGCUAUGGCCUUGUAUAGACAACUUGUUGACUAUGCUCAGUCAUGUAGCUUACUCGCUGAUGCUAUUUUACCUACGCUUAGGAUGUUGACGAGACUGUCGAUCUC